rnacentral:rRNA from 1 species
UACGGGGGGGGUAGCGUUGUCCGGAUUUAUUGGGCGUAAAGAGCGUGUAGGCGGCCAGGUAGGUCUGCUGUGAAAACUCGAGGCUCAACCUCGAGACGUCGGCGGAAACCAUCUGGCUAGAGUCCGGAAGAGGAGAGUGGAAUUCCUGGUGUAGCGGUGAAAUGCGCAGAUAUCAGGAAGAACACCCGUGGCUAAGGCGGCUCACUGGACCGGCAUUGACGCUGAGGUGCGAAAGCGUGGGGAGCAAACAGG